GGUGAGUAAUGCUUAGGAAUCUGCCUAUUAGUGGGGGACAACAUUCCGAAAGGAAUGCUAAUACCGCAUACGCCCUACGGGGGAAAGCAGGGGAUCUUCGGACCUUGCGCUAAUAGAUGAGCCUAAGUCAGAUUAGCUAGUUGGUGGGGUAAAGGCCUACCAAGGCGACGAUCUGUAGCGGGUCUGAGAGGAUGAUCCGCCACACUGGGACUGAGACACGGCCCAGACUCCUACGGGAGGCAGCAGUGGGGAAUAUUGGACAAUGGGCGCAAGCCUGAUCCAGCCAUGCCGCGUGUGUGAAGAAGGCCUUUUGGUUGUAAAGCACUUUAAGCGAGGAGGAGGCUACUUGGAUUAAUACUCUAGGAUAGUGGACGUUACUCGCAGAAUAAGCACCGGCUAACUCUGUGCCAGCAGCCGCGGUAAUACAGAGGGUGCGAGCGUUAAUCGGAUUUACUGGGCGUAAAGCGUGCGUAGGCGGCUUCUUAAGUCGGAUGUGAAAUCCCUGAGCUUAACUUAGGAAUUGCAUUCGAUACUGGGAAGCUAGAGUAUGGGAGAGGAUGGUAGAAUUCCAGGUGUAGCGGUGAAAUGCGUAGAGAUCUGGAGGAAUACCGAUGGCGAAGGCAGCCAUCUGGCCUAAUACUGACGCUGAGGUACGAAAGCAUGGGGAGCAAACAGGAUUAGAUACCCUGGUAGUCCAUGCCGUAAACGAUGUCUACUAGCCGUUGGGGC
rnacentral:rRNA from 1 species